rnacentral:lncRNA from 1 species
AACUAUUGAAACGAAGUAACAAAUUAAGUUGGUGAAGUACAGCCUUACUUGUAUAGGUUGCUGGAAAGUAUGGCAGAAUAUUGAGGCUAACGAAGAGACCAUAAAAACACAAUAGUGAACAUGAAAGUUCUACUACCAAAGACAAAGACAUGAAACGUGUUGUACAUCUUCUAUGCAGACGGAAAAUAGUACAUCUAUUACGCGACGUCACGUCACGCCUAACUCACCAAAAGAAAACAGAGACAUAAUAUUAAUGGCGGAUGAUGUGAAUGACAGAGACGAUGAUGUUGACGUAAACAAGCCUCGUCUUGAGAGAAGACAGAUAUUCAAUCUGAUAAAAUAUUUUAUAUCCAUCGUGCUCGCUGUUUCUGGACAUAACAUUUGACUGGGUUGAGUAUUUUGAAAUGAACAAGAGAGGAAAUUACUCAAUUGUUUUACAAAGACGGUCAACUUUUACAGAGAGUGUUUUUACUCAUGAAUGUCAAGGCCAAGGAGAGACACUUCAACUUAUUUUCCUUGUAUUUGCUAUUGUUGGAACUGCUUUGUCCGUAUUGCAGAUAUUCAAUAUCAUGUAUCAAUUGUUUUAUGAAUUUAAAGGCGUCGAUAAAGAAAAACGACUUGUACAUGAAUUCGUGGAAACAUUUGUAUUUCUAUUUUUUAUCGAAAUACAGCAGAUGUUUUUGAUAAUGGGAUUUUAUCACGUCUGCACUCUGGAUUGUGACGUAAAUGGCACUAAAUUUUUGUUGCAACAAAUGGAAUCAUUUCUAUGUGAGAAUAUUUUGUUGAGAUUCUUUACCAGCUUAAAACUCUGUUCGUCCCAUCUACAACAAAGCGGCGGAGGAAGGUGCAAUUUGCUAUCAAGGGAGAUAAUAAUUGUUGCAGAAUAGUUGGAAUAAUCAUUUUACUUGUCAUCUUUCCAAUUGCUAUACCCUUUGUCUGUAUCUAUUGUAUACUAAGUG